rfam:Astyanax mexicanus chromosome 13, whole genome shotgun sequence.
UCUCUCAGUUGCUCAGUAGUCAGUGUAGGUCCUGUCUGCUGCUCAGCAGCUACAUCUGGCUACUGGGUCUCUAAUAGGCUUC